ensembl:ncRNA F43D9.8 ncRNA
CGGCCAGUGUAUGGGCAGAGAGAAGACAUAGUUGAGUGAAUAGGGUUAAGAAUGAGGUGAAAAACGAUGAACGUCUGAGGAAAAUGGCAAAAUCCGCGCCUUUUAUACCCAAUUUUUGUUUGUUGUUUGUUGUUGUUUACUUGUUUA